rnacentral:rRNA from 1 species
GACAGAGGGUGCAAACGUUGCUCGGAAUUACUGGGCGUAAAGCGCGUGUAGGUGGAUUGGUGUGUCAGAUGUGAAAUCCCUGGGCUCAACCCAGGAACUGCACCUGAAACUACCAGUCUUGAGUGGUGGAGAGGGAAGUGGAAUUCCUGGUGUAGAGGUGAAAUUCGUAGAUAUCUGGAGGAACACCGGUGGCGAAGGCGGCAUCCUGGACCGACACUGACGCUGAGGAGCGAAAGCCAGGGGAGCAAACGGG